GCGUAAUCGUGUCGGCGCUACAAAUCAGACUUCGAAUCUGGGGGUCAGGGGUUCGAAUCCCUUCCGGCGCGCCA
rnacentral:tRNA from 1 species